rnacentral:lncRNA from 10 species
UGUGCUAGCAAUCAGCAAGACUCUGUGGGCGUAGGACCCUCCGAGCCAGGUGCCGGAUAUAAUCUCGUGGUGUGCCGUUUUUUAAGCCGGUCCGAAAAGCGCAAUAUUCGGGUGGGAGUGACCUGAUUUUCCAGAUAAUUGACAAUAGGCUCCCAUGGAAGUCUUCUGUGCAUUUCUGCAAAAAUUUAGGAAACAUUAGGUUUGACACCAUCAUCAUGUUUGCCAAGGCAGCAAAAAUCCCAGCCGGCAAAGCUUCAAGUGUGAUGAAGCGGAACAGCAAGGACAGCACGGAAUGACUGAUCAUUUCAGAAUGCCGUCUAGCGAGAGUUUCCAAUGUGGGAGUUUUCCAUUGUUUUGAAGCAGGAGAAAUAGGGACCGGCUGCUUUGGAAGAAACAUGCUGUAGGGGUCUGCCCCUACUACGAACUUAUGAGGGUUGAGGAGAAAUUACGUUUUUCCCCCAGCAAGUGUUCAAAUGAGAAAUGAGUCUGUACUUUCCAUCUUCCCUGGAAGCUGCACUCCCCAGUCUGCGGAUUGUUUCUCCUUCUGAAAAUAAAGUUUUCUCCUUUCCUUCCUCUGUGGCUCUCACGGUCUUAG